UACGGAGGAUGCGAGCGUUAUCCGGAUUUAUUGGGUUUAAAGGGUGCGCAGGCGGUCUGUUAAGUCAGCGGUGAAAUGCCCCCGCUCAACGGGGUGAAGUGCCAUUGAUACUGCCUUGCUGGAAUGCGGAUGCCGUGGGAGGAAUGUGUGGUGUAGCGGUGAAAUGCAUAGAUAUCACACAGAACACCGAUUGCGAAGGCAGCAUACCGGCGCCCGACUGACGCUGAAGCACGAAAGCGUGGGUAUCGAACAGG
rnacentral:rRNA from 1 species